UAAUGAUUGAAAAAUAUGCCAACUCGAC
rnacentral:piRNA from 1 species